ensembl:lncRNA
CCCAAAGUAUUUCUUUAUUGUGUAUUGCCCCUAUUUCAAGAUUGGAUUUUUGUCCUUCAGCUACAAAAUGGUUUCCCCUCAAAUAGUUCUCAUUAGACCAGAUGAUCAAAACAAUACCUCUAUAAUUCCUCUAUAAUCAGGAUGUUAGUGCUUCUCUCAGUUUUGUUGCUUUGACUAGGUUCAAUCUUCCUCAGGAAUCUCUGUCUUCAGUCCCCAUAGUCCUCUUCCUGGAAUGCAGCUGGCUCUCUUCAUUACAAGUCUAUUGGAACUUCCUGAAUCACCUCAUUGUUGAAAAGAGCCAAGUCAAUCAGAGUUGAUCAUCAAAUAAUCUUGUUGCUGUGUACAAUGUUCUCUUGGUUCUACUUACUUCACUUGGCAUCAGUUCAUUCUGGAUUUAGGAAACAAUUUGUUUCUUCCAUCUCCUCUGCACUGAUCUUCAAUAUAAUGUGAAAUUUCUAACUGAAGAAAAUAUUGAAGUCCUUACUUCAAAAGAGUGAUGAAGUCCUUACUUACAACAGUUUUUGGCACAGGUGUACAUGAUUGCUUUGGAGCAGAUGGAAGAUAUUUGGCCCAACCUUGCAGGAAACAGUGCACCCAAGAAAAGGCACAAAUUGUUACCAUGCAGUCUGAGGUCUUCUCACAUGAUAUUAGUUCGCUCCCCAAACAGAAAACAGACCUCAGAGUGUAUGGAAAUCAGCCUCACCCACAACUUGUCUAGUUCUGAUUAAACUCUGGGCGGAGCCAUCAGCCUGUUGCGAAGAUCCCAAUCACCAUAGUUACCAUCAAUGCAACAAUGACCCACUGGGACUUUUAAGUCUCAGCAGCCACUACUGCCUUUUGCAUUGUAGACGCCAAGCCCAGCUGUAGAAGACCCAAAUGUGGCAGAAGCAGACCCAGCUGUGGCCCGGAUGGCCUCGUGCUACCGGUGGGAACGAGAGGAUCAUCUCAAUGAAGGUACUGUAAAUAAUAAAUGGUUCAGUGUAAGAAGGGACUAAAAUUUCAUCAACCGGGAAUAUCACCAAGGAAGAUGCAUUUGUACACCAGACUGCCAUAAAGAAUAAAAAUGCAAGAAGUACCUUCACAGUAAAGAAGAUAGGGAGACUGUGAGAUUUAAUGUUGUCUAAGCAAAAAGGGAACGAAGACAGCUUCUGCACCAAGCCCUGUUGAAAUUCAAUUCAAGGCAGUAAAUAUGCAACAAAUGUUUAAUCAUUAAUGAAGAUGGUAUCCACUUCUAAUGGGGUCCUCUGUGAAGUUACCGACAGAAUGACUAGACUAGUAAGUGUGGGAAAAGAAUGAGAGAUCCGAAAAUGUUCCAAAAAGAGGCUAUCCCUACCAUUACACAGAGGUUUCUACCUUACUUAUACACCCAGAUCGUAAAGACAACUAAUGUAUCCAACUUUCCUGUGCAGGAAGAAAUGAUGGAAGAUACAAUCAGGAUGCAGGGAAACAAGGUUGACCCGUGAGAUAGAAUAUGUAUCGAGUUAUAGAUUGUAAUACUACAAGGGCAUUCCUUGUCAAUAUAUCUUGGAGAGGAAGUAAGUAACGAAGACAAGAAUAACCAAGAAGAUGAAAUCUAGGGUCAGCAACCACUUCAAUGUAGGUAUUGCGGUAACUUCCAUUAUUUUCACAGAUGCCCAGAGAACCAUAAACCACAAAAUGGCAAAGAGGUGAAAGCAGCUAAAUCCACAAUCUCUUGAGACUGGACAGGGCUGAACUGAGUAAAUUCCAGUUUACCAUCUCUCCCAUCAGUCAUCAUACCGAAAAGAAAAAAAAAAAAAAUACCAGCAAUAAGAAGUGAACACAAGAUUUGGAACAGAGGGACCUUAAUGCUUGCUUUAUUGUUAUUGACCAGAUAACUAGAAUUAUCUGCAUUAUCUAUGCAGAAUGGGGUUUUUAUUAUUUUUACUUAAAGAACUCCCUUUGGGGGAAUAACAAAACUUUGUAAAAGCCUGGUUUUCUCAACACACCUUUAAAUGUUUUUAAAUAGUUUCAUAUCUGGUCAAGAUUCUUAAGAAUUUCACUUUUAAAUUGUGUGAAGUUACACCUGAUCUCUUCAAAAGUUCACACACUGCAAGCACAAGUUUAAAUAAAGGUCUUUAAAUUUGAAAAAAUGUGUAAAAAUUAUUUUUAAAAUAAUUAGUGUCAAAGUCAAUAAAGUGAA